CGUAGGGUGCGAGCGUUAAUCGGAAUUACUGGGCGUAAAGCGUGCGACUAGGCGGUUAUAUAAGACAGAUGUGAAAUCCCCGGGCUCAACCUGGGACCUGCAUUUGUGACUGUAUAGCUAGAGUACGGUAGAGGGGGAUGGAAUUCCGCGUGUAGCAGUGAAAUGCGUAGAUAUGCGGAGGAACACCGAUGGCGAAGGCAAUCCCCCUGGACCUGUACUGACGCUCAUGCACGAAAGCGUGGGGAGCAAACAGGAUUAGAUACCCUGGUAGUCCACGCCCUAAACGAUGUCAACUGGUUGUUGGGUCUUCACUGACUCAGUAACGAAGCUAACGCGUGAAGUUGACCGCCUGGGGAGUACGGCCGCAAGGUUG
rnacentral:rRNA from 1 species